AGCUCUUUUCAGAGAUUGUAUGGGAGUCUUUGUGGGUCCAUUCUGCAGAGCUGCUCAGAGACCUGGGUCUUCUGAGGACUGGACCCCGAGUCUGAUAACAUCAGAGGAUGACCUUGGGUUGCCCAGCAAACUCUGCCAUGUGUGUGGAUGCUGGCGGUGCAGGUUGGGAAUGUGGAGGUCAGAGUGAGGGGUCUGUUUUCUCCUGACCUUGCCCUGAGAGGCCCUGGAUUUGGUAAAGGCAUCCGUUUUGGAGCAAGGACUCAGAUCUAGACUCCAUCCCUCACAGGCUGCAUGACCCUGAGGAAGUGUCUUCUGUGGUGCAGGAAUGAGGUCACCAUUUCAUUUAGCUACUGAUGAAGAGGAAGAGACACCACAGUACAGGAGCUUCUGGGUACAUGCCAAGGCAGUCCCCCUACAUGCCAGACUUGAAGCUGCCCUGUGAGCAUCCCUGAGCCUGGAAAGCCUUGUGUCCAGCGCCACCUGCAGGAUGUGAGGAGCAACGAAUAGAAGCUGGCUGAAUCCCUCAUUCCUGGUCUGCAGUUCCUCCUAGCCUCUAAGCCCUGGUGCCUGACUGAAGAGAGAAUCGUGGCAAGAAAGGCGCUGGCCCCGUUCUCUGAACUCUUGGAGAGACUUUGGUGGAGGAGACUCAGACUUCCAUUGACCAUUUUUAUAAAGUUAACCUGUGAUAUA